GGUGAAGCUGCUCCAGAAAAUGUUUACCCGUGCAGAGUGUGCGGCAAGAUCUACUCGAGAAAAUCCUCCAUGUACACGCAUCUCCGCCUUUGCGGAAAGGAACCGAAAUUCAACUGCGUCCUUUGCGGCAGAAGGUUCAACUCACUUGCAGAAGGUGUGGUUCUGUUUUCAAUGCGGGAAACGUUAUCAAUGGCGUGGUUCCUUGAAGAGUCAUAUCCGGGUGGAAUGUGGAAAAGAACCUACAUUCACAUGUCCAAUUUGUGGCAGAAAAUUCAAGCAUAAGCAUCGAUGGCAAUCUCAUGCAAAAUCCAUGCAUCAAAUUAAUUUAUAACGAUAAUAAUUCCAAACGUUUCGAUGUUAUCGUGAAAACAAACGACUCAUGACUUCCAUCAUCAACUUUAUCACAAGUUGUAUUGUAACGAGUAUCAUAGCAAUGAGUAUGAUAAUAAAAAGUUUCGUUGACAAAGA